rnacentral:rRNA from 1 species
UACGGAGGGUGCAAGCGUUGCUCGGAAUCACUGGGCGUAAAGGGUGCGUAGGCGGCCGCGCAAGUCUGGCGUGAAAGCCCCGGGCUCAGCCCGGGAAGGGCGCUCGAAACGGCGCGGCUCGAGUGCCGGAGGGGAGAGUGGAAUUCCUGGUGUAGCGGUGAAAUGCGUAGAUAUCAGGAGGAAUACCGGUGGCGAAAGCGACUCUCUGGACGGCAACUGACGCUGAGGCACGAAAGCGUGGGGAGCAAACAGG